AGUGAACGCUGGCGGUAGGCCUAACACAUGCAAGUCGAACGGCAGCACAGUAAGAGCUUGCUCUUACGGGUGGCGAGUGGCGGACGGGUGAGGAAUACAUCGGAAUCUACUUUUUCGUGGGGGAUAACGUAGGGAAACUUACGCUAAUACCGCAUACGACCUACGGGUGAAAGCAGGGGAUCUUCGGACCUUGCGCGAUUGAAUGAGCCGAUGUCGGAUUAGCUAGUUGGCGGGGUAAAGGCCCACCAAGGCGACGAUCCGUAACUGGUCUGAGAGGAUGAUCAGCCACACUGGAACUGAGACACGGUCCAGACUCCUACGGGAGGCAGCAGUGGGGAAUAUUGGACAAUGGGCGCAAGCCUGAUCCAGCCAUACCGCGUGGGUGAAGAAGGCCUUCGGGUUGUAAAGCCCUUUUGUUGGGAAAGAAAAGCAGCAGGUUAAUACCCCGCUGUUCUGACGGUACCCUAAGAAUAAGCACCGGCUAACUUCGUG
rnacentral:rRNA from 1 species